rnacentral:rRNA from 1 species
CAGUAGCCGCGGGAAUACAGAGGGUGCGAGCGUUAAUCGGAUUUACUGGGCGUAAAGCGUGCGUAGGCGGCUUUUUAAGUCGGAUAUGAAAUCCCUGAGCUUAACUUAGGAAUUGCAUUCGAUACUGGGAAGCUAGAGUAUGGGAGAGGAUGGUAGAAUUCCAGGUGUAGCGGUGAAAUGCGUAGAGAUCUGGAGGAAUACCGAUGGCGAAGGCAGCCAUCUGGCCUAAUACUGACGCUGAGGUACGAAAGCAUGGGGAGCAAACAGGAUUAGAUACCCCAGUAGUCCCUGUCUCUUAUAC